rnacentral:lncRNA from 1 species
AGCGCCACUUCUGAAAGAAAGGCUCACGACAACUGGCUCUGUGUUUAAGCCUCGCAGAGGGAGAUGCAAGAGAAGAAGGCUGCCUACAAGCAGCACAGAUAGGAAAUGAUUGAAAAACAGAGAGUGCUGGAGAGACACAUUAGUCAGGAGCCAGCUAGUGGACAACCAGGCAUAGAGAAUCAUCCCCAAAGAGGUCAAUAUGGCUUUGGGAGGGCCCCUUUUUCAGGAUUGCCCUACUUGCUCUACUGCAUGGCUGGCUCUUCAGGACCAUUUGUGGGCUGCCAGACACCUCCUCUGCCUGGGUGGCCUCUGGGAACACGACCACUGCCUCCAUGCACACCACUUGGACAAGCUGAAAUUUGAAGAGGCCCCUGAGCUCUGACAGCCAUGCUGUGGCUCCUACAUAACUUGGAAAAGUAUCCAAUACAUUUUACGCUGCCUGCCCAGUGCUGCCUCAUCUGUCUCUAAUCUUCUGUAGUGUUUCCCCUAAUAAAGGUUUGCAGUCCUAUCUGUUUGGGCGUCUGUUUUCUGGAGGACCAGAUGACCCCCCGGUGUACCAGGUAUGAUUCCUCAUACACUGUUCAAACCCAGGCAGAUAUUGCAGUGCUGGCUGCAGAAGCAGGGUUGCCCUUUGGGUAGUGUCGACUGGGAGGGCCCCAAGGGGGCUUUCUGGGGUGGGGAAAUAUCCCGUAUCAAGCCAUGAGUGGAGAUUGUGCUCAUUCAUUUUAGAAAUAGUCAUCGGGCACCUGAUGCCUGCCAGUCACAGGGGUUCCUUGUGAUAAGAUGGACAGGAAUGUAUCCCCAU